GGGCUCAUAGCUCAGCCUGGUUAGAGCGAUCGCCUCUUAAGCGAUAGGUCGGGGGUUCGAAUCCCCUUGGGCCCA
rnacentral:tRNA from 1 species